rnacentral:rRNA from 1 species
AGUGGGGGAUAACGUCCGGAAACGGGCGCUAAUACCGCAUACGUCCUGAGGGAGAAAGUGGGGGAUCUUCGGACCUCACGCUAUCAGAUGAGCCUAGGUCGGAUUAGCUAGUUGGUGGGGUAAAGGCCUACCAAGGCGACGAUCCGUAACUGGUCUGAGAGGAUGAUCAGUCACACUGGAACUGAGACACGGUCCAGACUCCUACGGGAGGCAGCAGUGGGGAAUAUUGGACAAUGGGCGAAAGCCUGAUCCAGCCAUGCCGCGUGUGUGAAGAAGGUCUUCGGAUUGUAAAGCACUUUAAGUUGGGAGGAAGGGCAGUAAGUUAAUACCUUGCUGUUUUGACGUUACCAACAGAAUAAGCACCGGCUAACUUCGUGCCAGCAGCCGCGGUAAUACGAAGGGUGCAAGCGUUAAUCGGAAUUACUGGGCGUAAAGCGCGCGUAGGUGGUUCAGCAAGUUGGAUGUGAAAUCCCCGGGCUCAACCUGGGAACUGCAUCCAAAACUACUGAGCUAGAGUACGGUAGAGGGUGGUGGAAUUUCCUGUGUAGCGGUGAAAUGCGUAGAUAUAGGAAGGAACACCAGUGGCGAAGGCGACCACCUGGACUGAUACUGACACUGAUGUGCGAAAGCGUGCGGAGCAAACAGGAUUAGAUACCCUGGUAGUCCACGCCGUAGACGAUGUCGACUAGCCGUUGGGAUCCUUGAGAUCUUAGUGGCGCAGCUAACGCGAUAAGUCGACCGCCUGGGGAGUACGGCCGCAAGGGUAAAACUCAUAUGAAUUGACGGGGGCCCGCACAAGCGGUGGAGCAUGUGGUUUAAUUCGGAGCAACGCGUACGAACUUACCUGGCCUUGACAUGCUGAGCACUUUUCACAAGAUGGAUUGGUGCCUUUCGGGAACUCACACACAGGUGCUGCAUGGCUGUCGUCCACUCGUGUCGUGAGAUGUUUG